AUACGGAGGAUGCAAGCGUUAUCCGGAUUUAUAGGGUUUAAAGGGUGUGUAGGCGGGAAUGUAAGUCAGUGGUGAAAGCCCGCAGCUCAACUGCGGAAUUGCCAUUGAUACUGCGUUUCUUGAGUAUAAUUGAGGUGGGCGGAAUGUGUCAUGUAGCGGUGAAAUGCAUAGAUAUGACACAGAACACCGAUUGCGAAGGCAGCUCACUAAAUUAUUACUGACGCUGAGGCACGAAAGCGUGGGGAGCGAACAGGAUUAGAUACCCCGGUAGUCC
rnacentral:rRNA from 1 species